UAAAGGUGCAAAAUUAUAAUGAUCUUUUGGAUAUUGACUGAUGAGGAAUAAGCUAUGAAUUUUCUGUUUACGUUUUUGUAAAUUUU